GACGAACGCUGGCGGCGUGCUUAACACAUGCAAGUCGAACGGUGACCCUCGGAGCUUGCUUCGGGGUGAACAGUGGCGAACGGGUGAGUAACACGUGAGUAACCUGCCCCUGACUCUGGAAUAAGCGCUGGAAACGGCGUCUAAUACCGGAUACGACACGCCUCCGCAUGGGGAGCGUGUGGAAAGUUUUUCGGUCUGGGAUGGGCUCGCGGCCUAUCAGCUUGUUGGUGAGGUAGUGGCUCACCAAGGCGACGACGGGUAGCCGGCCUGAGAGGGCGACCGGCCACACUGGGACUGAGACACGGCCCAGACUCCUACGGGAGGCAGCAGUGGGGAAUAUUGCACAAUGGGCGAAAGCCUGAUGCAGCGACGCCGCGUGAGGGAUGACGGCCUUCGGGUUGUAAACCUCUUUCAGCAGGGAAGAAGCGGAAGUGACGGUACCUGCAGAAGAAGCACCGGCUAACUACGUGCCAGCCGCCGCUGUAAGAC
rnacentral:rRNA from 1 species